GAUCCUGGCUCAGGAUGAACGCUGGCGGCGUGCCUAACACAUGCAAGUCGAACGGACUUAACCUGAAACCUAGUGAAGGUUAGGUUAGUGGCGGACGGGUGAGUAACGCGUGGACAACCUGCCGCAUGCAGGGGGAUAACAGUUGGAAACAGCUGCUAAUACCGCAUAAGCGCACAGUGCCGCAUGGCACGGUGUGAAAAGAAAUUCGGCAUGCGAUGGAUCCGCGUCCGAUUAGCCAGUUGGCGGGGUAACGGCCCACCAAAGCGACGAUCGGUAGCCGGCCUGAGAGGGCGGACGGCCACAUUGGGACUGAGACACGGCCCAAACUCCUACGGGAGGCAGCAGUGGGGAAUAUUGCACAAUGGGGGGAACCCUGAUGCAGCGACGCCGCGUGGGUGAAGAAGUCAUUCGUGACGUAAAGCCCUAUCAGCAGGGAAGAAAAUGACGGUACCUGACUAAGAAGCCCCGGCUAACUACGUGCCAGCAGCCGCGGUAAUACGUAGGGGGCAAGCGUUAUCCGGAUUUACUGGGUGUAAAGGGAGCGUAGACGGCGGCGCAAGUCCGGAGUGAAAGCCCACGGCCCAACCGUGGGACUGCUCUGGAAACUGUGCGGCUUGAGUGCGGGAGGGGCAGGCGGAAUUCCUAGUGUAGCGGUGAAAUGCGUAAAUAUUANGAGGAACACCGGCGGCGAAAGCNGCUU
rnacentral:rRNA from 1 species